rfam:Rhizobiales bacterium TMED25 115689, whole genome shotgun sequence.
CUUCUUCGAUUUGCUGAGGGCUUAUAAAAUGUAUAUGAGCAUCAAUCCCACCAGCAGUUACAAUUUUUCCUUCUCCAGCAAUAAUAUCAGUUCCUGGACCAAUAAUAAUAUCUACAUCAGAUUGUAUAUCUGGAUUACCAGCCUUACCAAUCUUAUAAAUUGACCCAUCAACAAUACCGAUAUCUGCUUUUACAACUCCCCAAUAAUCUAGAAUAACUGCGUUUGUAAUUACUGUAUCUACGGCACCUUCUGCGUUUGUAACUUGACUUUGCCCCAUCCCAUCUCUGAU